GUGAGGAAUAUUGCGCAAUGGAGGCAACUCUGACGCAGCCAUGCCGCGUGCAGGAAGAAGGCGCUACGCGUUGUAAACUGCUUUUAACCUGGAAGAAACCCCAGGACGUGUCCUGGGUUGACGGUACCGGAGGAAUAAGCACCGGCUAACUUCGUGCCAGCAGCCGCGGUAAUACGAAGGGUGCAAGCGUUAUCCGGAUUCAUUGGGUUUAAAGGGUGCGUAGGCGGAGCGUUAAGUCAGUGGUGAAAUCCUGCAGCUUAACUGUAGACUUGCCAUUGAUACUGGCGCUCUUGAGUGCGCUUGAAGUGGGCGGAAUGUGCCGUGUAGCGGUGAAAUGCUUAGAUAUGGCACAGAACACCAAUUGCGAAGGCAGCUCACUAAGGCGAUACUGACGCUGAGGCACGAAAGCGUGGGGAUCGAACAGGAUUAGAAACCCGUGUAGUCC
rnacentral:rRNA from 1 species